CUCUGACGUGAUGUUUCAGAACAUAAUAUGCUGGUUAUUUCACAGCAGCUACAGAACCCGUGGUGGCCAGCAUACAUUGGGGGCAGGAUUUCUGAAAUGGUUAUGACCGCAUGCUGGACUGAAACUACUGGAGUCAAUGGGAGAUUUGACUGAGGAAGGACAACAGGACUAGUCCAUUAUCUGGUGUGUGCGUACAUACAUAGUCAUCCCUAUCACUGAUACUUUAACUGCACCAUUGUGCAUAUGUAAAAUUUAAUUUACAAACACUUAUUACUACAUUGCUUUCAUUUAUCAAUUAAUUUUUCACACACAGAUUGGUUUGCACACUAGCCUUCAGUAAGUACGAGGCACCUGGAAAGUUCCAGCUUCUAAAUUUCAGCCAUUGUUGAGUGGUCCAUG